GUGAUUGUAGCUCAGUUGGUAGAGCCCUGGAUUGUGAUUCCAGUUGUCGUGGGUUCGAAUCCCAUCAAUCACC
rnacentral:tRNA from 1 species